rnacentral:tRNA from 1 species
AGGGCCAUAGUUUAGCGGUAGAAUAGAGGUCUCCAAAACCUUUGACGGGGGUUCGAUUCCCUCUGGCCCUG